ACCCAGAGGUAAAUGUCCACAGCUUUGAUGUAGGAAACUCGAGGCAUGGAGGCAUUGACACCAGUGAUGAUGGUAGACAUGCACAUCACUUUUAAGACAUGAUGAGCAAUUAUAAAGCCCUUCUUGAAUCCAACAGUAAUCUUGCCAUGGAAAUCUCAUAUUUGUGAAUAUUUUGGUUAUAUAAUCUUCAUGGGUUAUAUAUCUUAAAUCUUCUUAUAGAUUUAAUUGUAAAAUAAUAUAUGCAUUAAUCUCAA